rnacentral:rRNA from 1 species
UACGGGGGGGCAAGCGUUGUUCGGAAUUACUGGGCGUAAAGGGCUCGUAGGCGGCCAACUAAGUCAGACGUGAAAUCCCUCGGCUUAACCGGGGAACUGCGUCUGAUACUGGUUGGCUUGAGUGUGGGAGAGGGAUGCGGAAUUCCAGGUGUAGCGGUGAAAUGCGUAGAUAUCUGGAGGAACACCGGUGGCGAAGGCGGCAUCCUGGACCAUUACUGACGCUGAGGAGCGAAAGCCAGGGGAGCAAACGGGG